rnacentral:rRNA from 1 species
UACGUAGGCAGCGAGCGUUGUUCGGAGUUACUGGGCGUAAAGCGUGCGUAGGCGGUGGACCAAGUCUGGUGUGAAAUCUCCCGGCUUAACCGGGAGGGUGCGCCGGAAACUGGUUCGCUGGAGUGCGGGAGAGGCAAGCGGAAUUCCAGGUGUAGCGGUGAAAUGCGUAGAUAUCUGGAGGAACACCCGUGGUGCAGACGGCUUGCUGGACCGUGACUGACGCUGAGGCACGAAAGCGUGGGUAGCAAACAGG